rnacentral:lncRNA from 1 species
CAAAAUGUAAUUGUCCUCGGAAGGGAAUUCCAGGUCUGACAAUGACUGGAUUGUAGUUUUGGAAUCUUUGCCUUCCUGGCUGCAAGAAAUUCACUAAAGGAAGCUUUCUUGGCACAUGGUUCCUCAUGCGGAUGCUUCAAGACAGUGGCUUUCACUACUGAAAGGCAACGAGCUACUUACUCACUGAGGACAAAGAACAUCUGUUUGAAGGCACUUGAGAGCAGCCAAGGAAGCCAAAAUAUGAAGUUCUGGGAUUCCCAAAGAAGGAUAAUGCACUGAGGAAAGCCUGAUAUUCUGCACUGCUUCUUCCCUCAAGACAUUUGCUGAUUCAGAAGCCCCACAUGGAGCAAGAGUCUGAAAAACCAAGUAGAAAGUAGUAGCUAAAAGUACCUGGAAUGCAGGUGGUGCCAUCUUGAAGCAUGAGGUUGAGACCACGCACUACAGAGCAACCAGGAAUUUUAAAGGUUGAAUUUCUAUGAUUCCGUGCCUGACCUUUUGUGGUUGAGAGGAGGAACAGAGUGGCUGUCACAGAUUUGGCUCUUCUGUCUGUCACAUGGAUUGAAAGCGGAGCCUCCGGAAUUGGAGACUGCUGGGAGGUGAGCCAAUUCCAGGGAUGGGAGAAAGUCUGAAGUGGUGAUGGGCCAGCCUUCUUUAGCAUCUUGGCCUGGCACAGAGCUGAGCAGGUGCACAGUAUCAGGUCUGAUUGAGCUGCUCAUGCUCAGGCUUCCAACACUCUUAAAGACGUUCUUCUGAGGAACACGUCCUCCACUCUCUAUCCUCCUCAUUUGUACUCCAUGUUAAAAAAGGAAACCAACUCCAAACAAGAAAAAUGUUAA